CCUGGUUGACCCUGCCAGUAGCAUUUGCUUGUCUCAAAGAUUAAGCCAUGCACGUGUAAGUACACAUGCCGGUAAAGUGAAACUGCAAGUGGCUCAUUAAAUCAGUUAUGGUUCCUUUGAUCGCUCCAUCUGUUACUUGUAUAACUGUGGUAAUUCUAUAGCUAAUACAUGCCGUUGAGCGUUGACCUCCUGGUAUGCAUGCAUUUAUCAGACCAAGAGCAAUCCGGGCUCGCCUGGCCACUUUGGUGACUCUAGAUAACCUCGGCCCGAUCGCACAUCCCUGUGAUGGUCUGCGAUGCAUUUAGAUGUCUGCCCUAUCAACCUUCUAUGGUACUUCCCGUGCCUACCAUGGUGACUAUGGGUAACGGGGAAUCAGGGUUUGAUUUCGGAGAGGGAGCCUGAGAAAUGGCUACCACAUCCAAGGAAGGCAGCAGGCGUGCAAAUUACCCACUCCUGACUCGGGGAGGUAGUGAUGAAAAAUAACAAUACAGGACUCUUUCGAGGACCUGUAAUUGGAAUGAGUACACUUUAAAUCCUUUAACGAGGAUCCAUUGGAGGGCAAGUCUGGUGUCAGCAGCCAUGGUAAUUCCAGCUCGAAUAGUGUAUAUUAAAGUUGCUGCAGUUAAAAAGCUUGUAGUUGGAUCUUGGGAUUGAGCUGGCGGUCUGCCGCAAGGCAAGCUACUGAAUAUCCCAGCACCUGUCUCUUGGUGCCCCCUUGAUUCCCUUGACUGAGUGUCCUGGGGGUCCAAAGCGUUUACUUUGAAAAAAUUACAGUGUUCAAAGCAGGCCGGUCACCUGAAUACUUCAGCUAGGAAUAAUGGAAUAGGACUCCGGUUCUAUUUUGUUGGUUUUUGGAACUGUGGACAUGAUUAAGAGGGAUGGCUGGGGGCAUUCGUAUUGUGCCGCUAGAGGUGAAAUUCUUGGACCGGCGCAAGACGAACCAAAAGCGAAAGCAUUUGCCAAGAAUGUUUUCAUUAAUCAAGAAUGAAAGACGGAAAUUCGAAGACGAUCAGAUACCAUCGUAGUUCCGACCAUAAACGAUGCCGACUAGCGAUCCGGCAGCAUUAGUCCCAUGACCCGCCGAGCAGCUUCCGGGAAACCAAAGUCUUUGUUUUUCACGGGGAGUAUGCUUGCAAAGCUGAAACUUAAAGGAAUUGAUGUAAGGGCACCACUAGGAGUGGAGCCUGCAGCCUAAUUUGACUCAACACAGGAAACCUCACCCGGCCCGGACACAGCAAGGAUUGACAGAUUGAUCGCUCUUUCACGAUUCUGUGGGUGAUGGUGCAUGGCUGUUCUUAGUUGGUGGAGUGAUUUGUCUGGUUAAUUCCGAUAACGAACAGGACUCCUCCAUGCUAACUAGUUACGCGACCCCCAGCGGUCAGCGGUCAGCGUUCAACUUCUUAGAGGGACACGUGAUCGAGCAAUAACAGGUCUGUGAUGCCCUUAGAUGUCCGGAGCAGCAAGCACGCUAAACUGUAUGGAUCAGCGUUUGUCUACCUUCGCUGACAAGUGUGGGUAAUCCGCUGAACCCCGUUCGUGAUAGGGAUUGGGGAUUGCAAUUAUUUCCAUGAAUGAGGAAUUCCCAGUAAGUGCAGGUCUUAAGCUUGCGUUAAGUCCCUGCCCUUUGUACACACCGCCCGUCACUACUACUGAUUGGAUGGUUUAGUGAGGUCCUCGGAUUGGCCCCCGGGAGCACUGGUUCAUCCCCCUCAUUUAACUGAAUGGGAAAAAAUAACUGCUUGCCCUUUUUCGGAAUGUCCGUCAGACUUGAUC
rnacentral:rRNA from 1 species